rnacentral:rRNA from 1 species
CCAGACUCCUACGGGAGGCAGCAGUGGGGGAUAUUGCACAAUGGGGGGAACCCUGAUGCAGCGACGCCGCGUGGGUGAAGAAGCGCCUCGGCGCGUAAAGCCCUGUCAGCAGGGAAGAAAAUGACGGUACCUGACUAAGAAGCCCCGGCUAACUACGUGCCAGCAGCCGCGGUAAUACGUAGGGGGCAAGCGUUAUCCGGAUUUACUGGGUGUAAAGGGAGCGUAGACGGCGGAACAAGUCAGAAGUGAAAACCCGGGGCUCAACCCUGGGAGUGCUUUUGAAACUGUUUGGCUGGAGUGCAGGAGAGGUAAGCGGAAUUCCUAGUGUAGCGGUGAAAUGCGUAGAUAUUAGGAGGAACACCAGUGGCGAAGGCGGCUUACUGGACGGUAACUGACGUUGAGGCUCGAAAGCGUGGGGAGCAAACAGGAUUAGAUACCCCUGUACAG